GAUGAACGCUGGCGGCGUGCUUAACACAUACAAGUCGAACGGAAAGGCCCAAGCUUGCUUGGGUACUCGAGUGGCGAACGGGUGAGUAACACGUGGGUGAUCUGCCCUGCACUUCGGGAUAAGCCUGGGAAACUGGGUCUAAUACCGGAUAGGACCACUUCUUGGAUGUUGUGGUGGAAAGUUUUUUCGGUGUGGGAUGAGCUCGCGGCCUAUCAGCUUGUUGGUGGGGUAAUGGCCUACCAAGGCGUCGACGGGUAGCCGGCCUGAGAGGGUGUACGGCCACAUUGGGACUGAGAUACGGCCCAGACUCCUACGGGAGGCAGCAGUGGGGAAUAUUGCACAAUGGGCGCAAGCCUGAUGCAGCGACGCCGCGUGGGGGAUGACGGCCUUCGGGUUGUAAACUCCUUUCGCUAGGGACGAAGCGUUUUGUGACGGUACCUGGAGAAGAAGCACCGGCUAACUACGUG
rnacentral:rRNA from 1 species